GACGAACGCUGGCGGCGUGCUUAACACAUGCAAGUCGAGCGGCGCGGCGAACGGGUGAGUAACGCGUGAGUAACUGCCCCCCUCUCUGGGAUCACAGUUGGAAACGGCAGCUAAUACCGGCUAGUGGGGGAUGACUCGCGUCCUAUCAGGUUGUUGGUGGGGUAGUGGCCUACCACGGCGACGACGGGUAGCCGGCCUGCGAGGGCGACCAGCCCAAAUGGUCUGAGAUACGGCCCAAACUCCUACGGGAGGCAGCAGUGGGGAGUAGUGCACAGUGGGGGAAACCCUGAUGCAGCAACGCCGCGUGCGGGAUGACGGCCUUCGGGUUGUAAACCGCUUUCAGCCAUGACGCGGUAGUGGCAGAAGAAGCACCGGCUAACUACGUGCCAGCAGCCGCGGUAAUAC
rnacentral:rRNA from 1 species